GCGGAGGGAUCAUUAUAGAAAUACCUUCUAUUCACCCUCGCGAUCUUAUUCCACUGCGUUGCUUCGGCGUGGUUGGGGUGGGCCUCCGGGUCUGCUGCCGCCCGCCGGGCAACUAAAACUCGUACGUACAGAAGCUCUGAGGAUACCCAAAUGAGUCAAAACUUUCAACAACGGAUCUCUUGGUUCUGGCAUCGAUGAAGAACGCAGCGAAAUGCGAUACGUAAUGUGAAUUGCAGAACUCAGCGAACCAUCGAAUCUUUGAACGCACAUUGCGCCCGCCGGUAUUCCGGCGGGCAUGCCUGUCCGAGCGUCAUUGCAACCCUCGCGCCCCGCGCGGUGAUGGGGCCCCGCGGCUGCCGCGGGCCUUGAAAAACAGUGGCGGCCGCACCGGGACCCGCAGCGCAGUAGCCAUCCUCGCUCGCGGUGCCCGGCGCGCGCCGGCCGUGAAAUACACCCACAAGGUUGACCUCGGAUCAG
rnacentral:rRNA from 1 species